GCUGGAAUAGCUCAGCUGGUAGAGCAGCGCAUUCGUAAUGCGCAGGUCGAGGGUUCGAGUCCCUUUCCCAGCU
rnacentral:tRNA from 1 species